CGGCGAUUUCCGAAUGGGGAAACCCAGUGUGACUCGUCACACUAUCAUUAACUGAAUCCAUAGGUUAAUGAGGCGAACCGGGGGAACUGAAACAUCUAAGUACCCCGAGGAAAAGAAAUCAACCGAGAUUCCCCCAGUAGCGGCGAGCGAACGGGGAGGAGCCCAGAGCCUGAAUCAGCAUGUGUGUUAGUGGAAGCGUCUGGAAAGGCGCGCGAUACAGGGUGACAGCCCCGUACACAAAAGCGCAUGUGCUGUGAGCUCGAUGAGUAGGGCGGGACACGUGGUAUCCUGUCUGAAUAUGGGGGGACCAUCCUCCAAGGCUAAAUACUCCUGACUGACCGAUAGUGAACCAGUACCGUGAGGGAAAGGCGAAAAGAACCCCGGCGAGGGGAGUGAAAAAGAACCUGAAACCGUGUACGUACAAGCAGUGGGAGCCCCACCACUAAGCCAGUGGUGAACUCCACAUACGCAUCCUUUGCUGAGGAUACGGUUAACGGAGCGAAAGCGACGUUCAACCGCAAAAGAAGCAGAGGGGGCUUAGUGGUGGGGUGACUGCGUACCUUUUGUAUAAUGGGUCAGCGACUUAUAUUCUGUAGCAAGGUUAACCGAAUAGGGGAGCCGGAGGGAAACCGAGUCUUAACCGGGCGUUAAGUUGCAGGGUAUAGACCCGAAACCCGGUGAUCUAGCCAUGGGCAGGUUGAAGGUUGGGUAACACUAACUGGAGGACCGAACCGACUAAUGUUGAAAAAUUAGCGGAUGACCUGUGGCUGGGGGUGAAAGGCCAAUCAAACCGGGAGAUAGCUGGUUCUCCCCGAAAGCUAUUUAGGUAGCGCCUCGUGAAUUCAUCUCCGGGGGUAGAGCACUGUUUCGGCUAGGGGGCCAUCCCGGCUUACCAACCCGAUGCAAACUGCGAAUACCGGAGAAUGUUAUCACGGGAGACACACGGCGGGUGCUAACGUCCGUCGUGAAGAGGGAAACAACCCAGACCGCCAGCUAAGGUCCCAAAGUCAUGGUUAAGUGGGAAACGAUGUGGGAAGGCCCAGACAGCCAGGAUGUUGGCUUAGAAGCAGCCAUCAUUUAAAGAAAGCGUAAUAGCUCACUGGUCGAGUCGGCCUGCGCGGAAGAUGUAACGGGGCUAAACCAUGCACCGAAGCUGCGGCAGCGACGCUGAUGCGUUGUUGGGUAGGGGAGCGUUCUGUAAGCCUGCGAAGGUGGCCUGUGAGGGUUGCUGGAGGUAUCAGAAGUGCGAAUGCUGACAUAAGUAACGAUAAAGCGGGUGAAAAGCCCGCUCGCCGGAAGACCAAGGGUUCCUGUCCAACGUUAAUCGGGGCAGGGUGAGUCGACCCCUAAGGCGAGGCCGAAAGGCGUAGUCGAUGGGAAACGGGUUAAUAUUCCCGUACUUGGUGUUACUGCGAAGGGGGGACGGAGAAGGCUAUGUUGGCCGGGCGACGGUUGUCCCGGUUUAAGCGUGUAGGUGUGUGUUCCAGGUAAAUCCGGUUCACUUUAACACUGAGGCGUGAUGACGAGGCACUACGGUGCUGAAGCAACAAAUGCCCUGCUUCCAGGAAAAGCCUCUAAGCAUCAGGUAACAUCAAAUCGUACCCCAAACCGACACAGGUGGUCAGGUAGAGAAUACCAAGGCGCUUGAGAGAACUCGGGUGAAGGAACUAGGCAAAAUGGUGCCGUAACUUCGGGAGAAGGCACGCUGACACGUAGGUGAAGUGAUUUACUCAUGGAGCUGAAGUCAGUCGAAGAUACCAGCUGGCUGCAACUGUUUAUUAAAAACACAGCACUGUGCAAACACGAAAGUGGACGUAUACGGUGUGACGCCUGCCCGGUGCCGGAAGGUUAAUUGAUGGGGUCAGCGCAAGCGAAGCUCCUGAUCGAAGCCCCGGUAAACGGCGGCCGUAACUAUAACGGUCCUAAGGUAGCGAAAUUCCUUGUCGGGUAAGUUCCGACCUGCACGAAUGGCGUAAUGAUGGCCAGGCUGUCUCCACCCGAGACUCAGUGAAAUUGAACUCGCUGUGAAGAUGCAGUGUACCCGCGGCAAGACGGAAAGACCCCGUGAACCUUUACUAUAGCUUGACACUGAACAUUGAGCCUUGAUGUGUAGGAUAGGUGGGAGGCUUUGAAGUGUGGACGCCAGUCUGCAUGGAGCCGACCUUGAAAUACCACCCUUUAAUGUUUGAUGUUCUAACGUGGACCCGUGAUCCGGGUUGCGGACAGUGUCUGGUGGGUAGUUUGACUGGGGCGGUCUCCUCCUAAAGAGUAACGGAGGAGCACGAAGGUUGGCUAAUCCUGGUCGGACAUCAGGAGGUUAGUGCAAUGGCAUAAGCCAGCUUGACUGCGAGCGUGACGGCGCGAGCAGGUGCGAAAGCAGGUCAUAGUGAUCCGGUGGUUCUGAAUGGAAGGGCCAUCGCUCAACGGAUAAAAGGUACUCCGGGGAUAACAGGCUGAUACCGCCCAAGAGUUCAUAUCGACGGCGGUGUUUGGCACCUCGAUGUCGGCUCAUCACAUCCUGGGGCUGAAGUAGGUCCCAAGGGUAUGGCUGUUCGCCAUUUAAAGUGGUACGCGAGCUGGGUUUAGAACGUCGUGAGACAGUUCGGUCCCUAUCUGCCGUGGGCGCUGGAGAACUGAGGGGGGCUGCUCCUAGUACGAGAGGACCGGAGUGGACGCAUCACUGGUGUUCGGGUUGUCAUGCCAAUGGCACUGCCCGGUAGCUAAAUGCGGAAGAGAUAAGUGCUGAAAGCAUCUAAGCACGAAACUUGCCCCGA
rnacentral:rRNA from 1 species